rnacentral:rRNA from 1 species
AGAGUUUGAUCCUGGCUCAGAGUGAACGCUGGCGGCGUGCCUAAUACAUGCAAGUCGAACGAUGAAGCUUCUAGCUUGCUAGAAUGCUGAUUAGUGGCGCACGGGUGAGUAACGCAUAGGUCAUGUGCCUCUUAGUUUGGGAUAGCCAUUGGAAACGAUGAUUAAUACCAGAUAUUCCCUACGGGGGAAAGAUUUAUCGCUAAGAGAUCAGCCUAUGUCCUAUCAGCUUGUUGGUAAGGUAAUGGCUUACCAAGGCUAUGACGGGUAUCCGGCCUGAGAGGGUGAACGGACACACUGGAACUGAGACACGGUCCAGACUCCUACGGGAGGCAGCAGUAGGGAAUAUUGCUCAAUGGGGGAAACCCUGAAGCAGCAACGCCGCGUGGAGGAUGAAGGUUUUAGGAUUGUAAACUCCUUUUGUUAGAGAAGAUAAUGACGGUAUCUAACGAAUAAGCACCGGCUAACUCCGUGCCAGCAGCCGCGGUAAUACGGAGGGUGCAAGCGUUACUCGGAAUCACUGGGCGUAAAGAGCGCGUAGGCGGGAUAGUCAGUCAGGUGUGAAAUCCUAUGGCUUAACCAUAGAACUGCAUUUGAAACUACUAUUCUAGAGUGUGGGAGAGGUAGGUGGAAUUCUUGGUGUAGGGGUAAAAUCCGUAGAGAUCAAGAGGAAUACUCAUUGCGAAGGCGACCUGCUGGAACAUUACUGACGCUGAUUGCGCGAAAGCGUGGGGAGCAAACAGGAUUAGAUACCCUGGUAGUCCACGCCCUAAACGAUGGAUGCUAGUUGUUGGAGGGCUUAGUCUCUCCAGUAAUGCAGCUAACGCAUUAAGCAUCCCGCCUGGGGAGUACGGUCGCAAGAUUAAAACUCAAAGGAAUAGACGGGGACCCGCACAAGCGGUGGAGCAUGUGGUUUAAUUCGAAGAUACACGAAGAACCUUACCUAGGCUUGACAUUGAGAGAAUCCGCUAGAAAUAGUGGAGUGUCUGGCUUGCCAGACCUUGAAAACAGGUGCUGCACGGCUGUCGUCAGCUCGUGUCGUGAGAUGUUGGGUUAAGUCCCGCAACGAGCGCAACCCCCUUUCUUAGUUGCUAACAGGUCAUGCUGAGAACUCUAAGGAUACUGCCUCCGUAAGGAGGAGGAAGGUGGGGACGACGUCAAGUCAUCAUGGCCCUUACGCCUAGGGCUACACACGUGCUACAAUGGGGUGCACAAAGAGAAGCAAUACUGCGAAGUGGAGCCAAUCUUCAAAACGCCUCUCAGUUCGGAUUGUAGGCUGCAACUCGCCUGCAUGAAGCUGGAAUCGCUAGUAAUCGCAAAUCAGCCAUGUUGCGGUGAAUACGUUCCCGGGUCUUGUACUCACCGCCCGUCACACCAUGGGAGUUGUGUUUGCCUUAAGUCAGGAUGCUAAAUUGGCUACUGCCCACGGCACACACAGCGACUGGGGUGAAGUCGUAACAAGGUAACCGUAGGUGAACCUGCGGUUG